UNUGACUUGAGUGCAGAAGGGGAGAGUGGAAUUCCAUGUGUAGCGGUGAAAUGCGUAGAUAUAUGGAGGAACACCAGUGGCGAAAGCGGCUNUCUGGUCUGUCACUGACGCUGAGGCUCGAAAGCGUGGGUAGCGAACAGGAUUAGAUACCCUGGUAGUNCACGCCGUAAACGAUGAGUGCUAGGUGUUAGGCCCUUUCCGGGGCUUAGUGCCGGAGCUAACGCAAUAAGCACUCCGCCUGGGGAGUACGACCGCAAGGUUGAAACUCAAAGGAAUUGACGGGGGCCCGCACAAGCGGUGGAGCAUGUGGUUUAAUUCGAAGCAACGCGAAGAACCUUACCAGGUCUUGACAUCCCGAUGCUAUUCUUAGAGAUAGGAAGUUACUUCGGUACAUCGGAGACAGGUGGUGCAUGGUUGUCGUCAGCUCGUGUCGUGAGAUGUUGGGUUAAGUCCCGCAACGAGCGCAACCCUUAUUGUUAGUUGCCAUCAUUAAGUUGGGCACUCUAGCGAGACUGCCGGUAAUAAACCGGAGGAAGGUGGGGAUGACGUCAAAUCAUCAUGCCCCUUAUGACCUGGGCUACACACGUGCUACAAUGGUCGGUACAACGAGUUGCGAGCCGGUGACGGCAAGCUAAUCUCUGAAAGCCGAUCUCAGUUCGGAUUGGAGGCUGCAACUCGCCUCCAUGAAGUCGGAAUCGCUAGUAAUCGCGGAUCAGCACGCCGCGGUGAAUACGUUCCCGGGCCUUGUACACA
rnacentral:rRNA from 1 species